GAUGAACGCUGGCGGCGUGCCUAAUACAUGCAAGUCGAGCGAACGGACGAGAAGCUUGCUUCUCUGAUGUUAGCGGCGGACGGGUGAGUAACACGUGGAUAACCUACCUAUAAGACUGGGAUAACUUCGGGAAACCGGAGCUAAUACCGGAUGAUAUUUUGAACCGCAUGGUUCAAAAGUGAAAGACGGUCUUGCUGUCACUUAUAGAUGGAUCCGCGCUGCAUUAGCUAGUUGGUAAGGUAACGGCUUACCAAGGCAACGAUGCAUAGCCGACCUGAGAGGGUGAUCGACCACACUGGAACUGAGACACGGUCCAGACUCCUACGGGAGGCAGCAGUAGGGAAUCUUCCGCAAUGGGCGAAAGCCUGACGGAGCAACGCCGCGUGAGUGAUGAAGGUCUUCGGAUCGUAAAACUCUGUUAUUAGGGAAGAACAGAUGUGUAAGUAACUGUGCACAUCUUGACGGUACCUAGUCAGAAAGCCACGGCUAACUACGUG
rnacentral:rRNA from 1 species